AUCAAAACAAGCCAUGUGAGGUCCUUUUAUGUAAGUACCUCCUAGUGCUUCAGGGAGAAAUGAUAGAGAGGACUCUGGAAGGACUGCCAAGCAACAGUCACAGGAUCCCAGGAAGAGAGAACUUCAUGAGCCAUUUGGGGAAGUAGAGAAUAUUAUCUGAAGGACCACAAUUCCCAGAACCUGUUUAUCAGUGAGGAGAAGAGAAUGAGGUGAUGGGGAAAAGAAAGAACUAAUUUGUCUUACUAGUGUCUGUGAUGGUGAUGGAAAUUCAUGAACAAAGUGAUUUACUCUGCUGUUGAUACAGCCAGAUGCCUUACCUCUAGA